rnacentral:rRNA from 1 species
UACAGAGGUGGCAAGCGUUGUUCGGAAUUACUGGGCGUAAAGGGCGCGUAGGCGGCCUUCUAAGUCAGACGUGAAAUCCCCGGCUUAACCUGGGAACUGCGUCUGAUACUGGGAGGCUUGAGUAUGGGAGAGGGAGUGUAGAAUUCCAGGUGUAGCGGUGAAAUGCGUAGAUAUCUGGAGGAAUACCGGUGGCGAAGGCGGCAUCCUGGACCAUAACUGACGCUGAGGCGCGAAAGCUAGGGGAAGCAAACGGGGG